rnacentral:rRNA from 1 species
CAACAACGGAUCUCUUGGUUCUGGCAUCGAUGAAGAACGCAGCGAAAUGCGAUAAGUAAUGUGAAUUGCAGAAUUCAGUGAAUCAUCGAAUCUUUGAACGCACAUUGCGCCCCUCGGUAUUCCGGGGGGCAUGCCUGUUCGAGCGUCAUUGUACCCCU